UACGUAGGGUGCGAGCGUUGUCCGGAAUUAUUGGGCGUAAAGAGCUUGUAGGCGGUCUGUCGCGUCUGCUGUGAAAAUCCGGGGCUCAACCCCGGACUUGCAGUGGGUACGGGCAGACUAGAGUGUGGUAGGGGAGACUGGAAUUCCUGGUGUAGCGGUGAAAUGCGCAGAUAUCAGGAGGAACACCGGUGGCGAAGGCGGGUCUCUGGGCCGAUACUGACGCUGAGGAGCGAAAGCAUGGGUAGCGAAUAGG
rnacentral:rRNA from 1 species